UACGGGGGGGGGCAAGCGUUGUUCGGAAUUACUGGGCGUAAAGGGCGCGUAGGCGGCCACCGCAAGUCGACUGUGAAAUCUCCGGGCUUAACUCGGAAAGGUCAGCCGAUACUGCGGGGCUAGAGUGCAGAAGGGGCAACUGGAAUUCUCGGUGUAGCGGUGAAAUGCGUAGAUAUCGAGAGGAACACCUGCGGCGAAGGCGGGUUGCUGGGCUGACACGUGACGCUGAGGCGCGAAAGCUAGGGGAGCGAACGGG
rnacentral:rRNA from 1 species